CUCUUCGCUUGUCAGAGAUCCUGCGAGCGCAACCGAUUUCCGCACAUGCGCGGUCGGUGUCGUCAGUGCCCAGUCGACGCCUAGGUAGCGGCGCGGCUGGUCCGCUAGCGUCUGUGGUAGGGUGACGUGUUGGCGACAGUUCUCCAACCAGGGAUCAAACCUGUGCCCCCUGCCUUGGAAGCAUGGAGUCUCAUCCACUGGACCACCAGGAGUUGACCUCAUGUAAUUGUCCAAGCAAUCUCUGUAAGGUUGUAAUCUUUGUAAUCGAUGCUGGAUCUUCAAGUCCACAGGGCAGGCAAUCAGGACGAGAAGAUGGAUCUAAGGUAGGGGAGAGCGGGCAUAAGCCAAACAGGAGUCCAUGAGGACAGAUGAAACCUAUGUCCAUUCUCACUGCCACUGACCUUGGUGAUACGGAGAGGCUCCAGUGGCUGGAGCCGUUUGUCAGAGAACUGAACACACACGCCUGCCCAGGAAUUAGAGAAGCUGAAGGAAGCUCUAGAGGAAGGUGGAGUGAUUGCAGAUCAAGUGAUUCCUCACACCAAGGAGAACAGAAACUCCAGCGUCUGACCUGCUGUACAACUUGGGAGGCACUGGUGUACUCAGAAGAUAGUAAACCCUUUUGGGAAGUUCCAGUGAUGGCCAGCCUCUCUGUCUGAAGUGUAAGGCCGGACUCAGAACUAGGAGGGACCCAGAGCAGAGGGAAGCAGCCUUCCCAUAUCACCUGCAGACAGGAUGGGCAAGUAUGAGACAGAAUGACUGGGCUGGGAAAGUCUUAUGGGGCGAGAAAUUUAUCCCUGAACACAGGAUCCUGUGCAGGGCCAAAAGGAAUCACAGACUGGCAGUUCAGCCUGUGCCAUCUGUGCCUCUCAUGCCAACACCCAGCACACCCCAUACCAGCAGCUCUUCCUAACAUGCUCAGUGGCACGGGUUCAGGCAGCAAACAUGUUCCAGUCCACCCAGCACCAAGAGGCCCAGGGUGGAGGCAAGCCUAGGUAGCACCAGGGGGCCAAGCUGUUUGCGGGGGUGGGUAGGCACAUGUGCAGGAAGGGGGAAUACAAGAUGGCACGAAACACCUGAGAUCAGGAUGAAGCGUUCAGGCUCUCCCCCUCCCACCAUUGUAGAUGUUGUCCCAAGAGGAAAGCAAAUUGGGGGAACUGGAGGAAUGAGGGCACCCCCUCAGCAGUUGGGUGCAGACGAGGCCCCCCUGGGAACCAAAAUGGCUGUUAGGAGCCAUGAUUCUUGGUCUGACACUGCAGGGAAUGGGUGAAAAGCCACCAGGAAUUACAAUAUGGACAAGCCCAUGGUGACUUCAGUGGUAGCACUUUGUGCCCACAGGCGGCAAAACCGGUGUCUUGGCAAACAGGAGGGGCCUCAAGGCCACGCAACGCCGAUUCCUCCUUGUCCCUGGCCCCACCAACAGCCCAAAUCACUGACAGCUCGAAGGAACCCGGGGCUCAAAUGGAAUAUAUAUUAGGAUCAGGCAGCACAUCAUAAAACCUCGCCCUCCCCAGUGAGCGAGAAGUCAGGAACACCGGGCGGGUCUGUCAGGCACAGCUGGGUGGCACAAGGCAGGGGGCUGGAUUCGAGCUGGCAUGGGAGCAAGAGGGAAGGGGGUCCUGAGGUACUUGUUCACAGAGAAUGGGAGGGCCCCAGAGGCCUGCCAGCCACAGCCCCAGGUAGCUGUUAAGAAGCAUCCGCAGAGCUGUAGGGGAAGAACUUCGUGGCCUUGUUUGGGGUGGUGGGGUUCAGGCACUCUGCCUCCUCGUUCAUCUUGAAGAACAUCUCCUGCUCUCGCUUCUUCUGGUUCAGAUCUUCUUCCAGAGCCUAGGACAGACAGAGGGCAGAUGGAGCUCAGCUGGAUCCCUUAGGACAAACGUCUCCCCCAACCACAGGACCCCCACCAAAGUGGCCUUCUCUGGAAAUUUCCCUCCCAGGCCUCAGUGCUCAAGUAACUUGGUCUUCCCUCUCUCCUUUCCCAGAGCCCCUCACCCAGAAGGUAAGUACCACCUCCUCCUUCCUCCUGCCACAGCCAUGCAGGAGUUUCCUGUGGGCCAAGGGCUCUGCUUUGGGGAAAUGCCAGUCUAGAUGGGGUGCUAGGGAGAAGCAGAUGCAGAUCUGCUGUCAGGAAAACAGCCACAUGAAUGGAGAAAACCUGAGGUAGAAGAUGGAGCAAGGGGAGCAGAGACGUCCGAGUUACAUACACGGUGUUCCUAACCAGGGCACUGUCCUGCAGAAUCAGGGGACUUCUUUUCAGAAUAUCAGCACAGUCAUGCCAACCCCCUGAGAUUCAAGUUCUCUAAGCCUGUGGUAGGACAGGCGUUCUCUACAUUGUAACGUUGUAACAUCAGGUAACUCUGAGGGGAGCGUUUAGGCCACAAGCAGUGCCAGAGCUUCCCUUAGGCACAGGCAAGUUUAUCUAGAUAAAUUGUGUCCUACCAGAAAAAGUUCUUGAGGGUUCUCCAAAAAUAAGCAUUCAAUUAAAAAUGGAGGCAGAGGAAAGAGCAGGGGCUUCACAUUCAAACAGGACUGAGCUCCAUUACCAGCUGGGUGGGCCUCUGCAUGUUCCCGUUCCUCUCCACGUCUGUCUCCUCUCAUGUAAAAUGGCAAUAUCACUACCUGCCUUGGCAGGGCUACUGCAAAGAUGAAAUUACAAACUAAUGGGCUGUAAUUACUGAGUACUUCCUACAUGUCAGGCACUAUGCUAAGUGCGUUACAUCUUAUUUAAUCUUCACCCUACAAGAUAGAUACCACUAUCCCCAUCUUAACCACGGAGAAACUGAGGCUUAAGAGAGUUUAGGUCACUUGCCCAAGGUCAUUCAGCUAGCUGGGGCCAGAGUCAAGAUGGGUCAGAGUUCAAGCUCUGAAACAGUGCGCUCCAACAUCUGCAAAGCCAGGCACAUGUGGGUUACUCAGUAAAUGUGGUUUCAUUACUGUUUUCACUAUAGAAGUAACCACUUCCAUAGGAUUUGACCAGCAUUCUCUCUCUCUUUUUAAAACUAUUCUUUGAUGCCCUGAAAUAGCCUCAACAAACAACUUAACUACUAGAUACCCCCUUAAGCUCUUGUUCCUUCAGAUGGGGAAAGGACACUGAAUCACAACACCAAUUUUUCAAAUCCGUUAUAAGACAUCCAUGUGAGGGAGGGCGAGGUAUUUGAAGUCAUGCCUCAUCUUGGACUUAAUAUGAAAUUUCUGCUAAUUCACACAGAUUCUUGGCUCAAGUUCUCCUUUUCUGGAUAUGUUAAUAUUCAAGUGUUUGUGACUUGCAAACGUUAUAUAUAAACAAGAUAAAAGUACUACUGUUUAAGCUUCUGUCUCAGAGGUUACAAAAUCCAGUGCCUAUAGGAGCCAGACAGGUGAAUUAAACGAGAAGAGAGCUAGAUGUGAGGCAAUAGGGAAUGGUGGGGACUGUGGUAAGGUGAAGAGCACUGUUUGAAGAGGGCAGUUUCUUCUCAGCUCCAGCCGAUGGCUGUCAUGCAGUACAGUGGGCCCAGUGUUGCAAGAGCUUCUGGGUUUUCAAAAGAAACUGGAAAUCCAGAUUUUUAUGUAGAAUUUCCUUAUACUUAAAAAAUCAGCAACUUAAAUUUUUUUCAUUGCUGUAUGUUGGCCAAACCUAACGUCUAUAAGCCAGUUUCAGCCCCUAGGUUAUCAGUUUGUGACUUCUGCUAUAGGAAUACCAAUGUAAUUAUAAUAGCUACCACCUUUUUGAGCACAGAGAGGUUUAGUAACUUGCCCAGGGUCUCACAACUAGAAAUGGGGGAGCUAGGAAUUUCUCCCACAUCUGUCUUAGUUCAAAGCCUAUGCUCUUACACACUACUCUAUUUUAUCUCUAUAUAACCUAUAUAUUCCUCUAUAUGACCUAGGGCAGGAGUCAAUAUUUUUUCUGUAAAGGGCCAAACUGUAAAUAUUUUCGGCUUUGCAAACCUUAACGUCGCUGUUGCAACUACCCAGCUGCUGUUGUAAUGUAAUCAGCCAGAGACAAAAUGUAAAUGAAUGAGUAUGGCUGUGUUCCAAUAAAACUUUAUAUACAAAUACAAGUGGUGGGCCAGAUUUGGCCUGUGGGCAAUAGUUUACUAACACCUGUUUUAAGGGAAGAAAUGUUAUCUUCAUCUUAUAGCCCCCAAAAGCAAGGUUCAGGAGGGAGGACUUGUCUGAGGCCACAUUCUUUGUUAACUGUGACCUAAGCAACACCUUAUUGACAUUACCAAAUAAGUAUUCUGUACUUACUGAAAGAAAUCUUAAUUUUUCUAAAAAUAUUCCACAAUGUACAGUUAUCUCCCCUGCCCCCCAUACAUGGGCAGCAGCUGAAGGCUGCUAACUGAAAUGCAAGAGUGUAGAAGAAUGUUUACUCCAGAAUGAAAAUCAUCACCUCUGGGUCAGUGUUCCAGCAGCAACCCAGGUAACUAAGGACAGAAUGAGUCUACAAAGCAUUCUGGAAAGAGGCAGCCCCUACAAGCAAAAUCCAGUGCCAGCGCUCUAAAUACACACUUGCAGUGCCUCCCCUCAGCCCAGGCACCCCCAUGAAGCAAUCUAGGCUGUGAGGCAGCUGCCAGAGGCAACGUGAUCAUUCAUUUUCAGACUCUCAGGAUGUGCCAAGGGUAUAGAAGCCCCAGGUAAGAGAACGAAGUGGACAUUUAUUUCCUGGUGCCAGAGUCAACCUGCGUCAGCAUGAGUAUUAUUGAUUUGAGUGUCAAGUAUCAAAAGUCCCAGCAGACCGUGGCGUGGUUACAGGUAAGUGUAGGCCUGUUAACAGGAAGGUCUGGGACCUUGGCCAGCUAGAAAUCUCCAUUAGCACAGGGAGGGAAGCGUCUAUUCAAGGACUUCCAAGGCCAUUAUAUGGCUGAGGUGGGCAGCUGCCUCCUGGGCAGACCACAGUUACAGCAAGCAGAGCUGAAAUAUGAUGGCAGAACAGACCUCAGGGCUUCAGCACACAUGGUCAAGGGUAACUAGGGCAGCUCUCUCCUCAGAGGGUUUAGGAGAGUGCAAGGAAAUGAGUACGCCCUUGGCCUAUACUAUGGGCCGGUGACUUCUGCAUAACACUAUACAAUAUUCACAUAUUCACUUUACGAAUGACCCCACUGAGGCCCUGUGAUGGUUAAUUUAUUUGUCAUCCUGGCAAAGCCAUGGUAACCAAUUGUUUGGUCAAAACUAGUCUAGAUGUCAUUGUGAAGGAAUUUUUUAGGUGUGAUUAGCAUUUAACUCAGUAGACUCUGAAUAAAGCAGAGUGUUUAUUCCAUAAUGUGGGUGGGCCUCACUCAAUCAGUUGCAGGCCUUUAAAGACUGAGGUCCCACUAAAGAAAGAGGGGCUGAGCCUCCAGACUGCCCCAGGGCUCAAGACUGCAACAUCAACCCUUCCCUGGCUCUCCAGCCUGCAGUCUGCCCUGCAGGUUUCAGACUUAUCAGCCCUGACAAUCGGGUGAGCCAGUUCCUUAAAAUAAAUCCAUAAAUCUGUAUCUUAUCCACAUCCUAGGCAGACACUGGUGGCGUGACACGGAGCAGAGCCCACCACUGCGCCCACAGCCCAGACAGGGUUACCUUCUUGCGUGGCCGAAGCUUGUCCCGCCAUUCCUUCAGGUUCUGGUUAUGGCUUUCAUCCAGGGCCUUCAGCUUCUGGGUCUCAUGCUCUACCAGGAGGUGACACUUUUCAUUCUGGAACAUAUUCCAGGAAGUACAGGACACAGCAAGAAGGCAUCCAUCUGCAAGCCAGAAAGAGAGACUUCACCAGAACCCAACCAUGCUGGCAAAGCUGAUCAUGGAUUUCCAGGCUCCAAAACUGAGAGGCUGUGACAAGGGGUAAGGGCCGUGGACCUGGCUGAGGUUCGCCAGCCUCCCUGUUCUCUCACUGAGAAAUUGCCAGAUGGAUCCAAUGGCUAAAGAAUUUCCUGAGGUCACAGAGGUUUGUGUCAGCCCAUCUGUCAGAUACUGCUGCUCUUCACAUUCUGGUAGCUAAAUAUCCUUGAACCUCUGUGAUGAUUCAUCUUCAAGAUUAGUCCUAGAAGCAAAAAUUCUAGGCCAAAGGAUGUGUACAUUUUUGAAGCUCUUGAUGCCCUUGCCAGAGUCGCCUCCUAAAAGGGCCAAUCUGCUCUCCCUCUGCGAGGACUAGGGCCUGUCUCCCCUACCCUCCCUAACCUUGCACUCUUUUUCUAAUCAAUCUGUCAAGGGACAGGUUGUAGGAAAGCAUGAUGGUGUCCUGGAGUCAGACUCAGUUUGAGACCUCGGACCCCACUGUGCAGUGCCACCUCUCUGAGCCUUUGUUUCGUCCUCUGUAAAGGGGGGAAAAAAACAGCACCUACCCUGGUAUGCCAUGAAUGCUAAACCAGAUAAUAUACAAAACAUUUGUAAUUGUAGACUCUAAUUUUCUUUGCAUUUGGGGGCAAAGGAAGUGGGACAAAAUGAGACCAUGAAGUGAAAAGAAGGCUGGGACAGAGGGGACAGUGUCUAGCUGGGAGAGGCUGACAGGAACCAGACCUACAGGGCCUUGAAAGCAUGUGAGAAGGCUGAUAUGAUUUUAUGGACAAAGUGGGAGCCACUGAAAGUUUUAAGGGCAGAGGGCUGUUGCGGGAGGGUGUCAUGAUCAGAUUUGGAAUUUGUAUUGAUGACACCAACUGCUGUGAGAGAAAGAACUGCAGGGAAACUAGCUGGAAGGCUACUGCAGAAGUCCAGGCAAAAGACAACAAUGGCUAGGGGGUCACAGAGAUGUUGACAAGUUGAUGGAUCCAGAAAGAGUCUGGAGAUUUAAAAAAAAAAAAAAAAAUCCAAGCUUCAAGAAGUAAUGAAGGAUUGGAGGGAAAAGAAGUGUCAGGAAUGACAAGGCUUCUGGCCUGACAACACAAUGCAGGGCGGUGUCCCCUGAGAACAUGAGAAUAGGACCAGGUCCUAUUUGGGUUUGAUGGCUUUGAGACUCCAAAAGAUGCCAAGUGGGCAUAUGGAUAUACCGGGUUGGUCAAGGAGAUGUGAUGUACAAACAACCAUAAACGAGGCAGGAGGCACAAAAGACUUUGGGAGAGGUAGAUGUUAAAGGUGGUUGGUGUCUCCUGGAAAUGGGAGAGCUCACUUCCAUCUGGAGUGAGAGCAAUCAAGAAAGGCUGCAUGGUGGAGGUGAUAAUAGGAAUGAUAACCAGGAUGGUCUGGAUUUAGGUAUUCAGAAUAAAAGGUGAGUACUUAAGGGGCAGGGCAUGGACAUAGAGAGGGGCUCUGCAUCUCAAACCUGGGACUCCCCAACCCCAAUACUUCCCAACUGAGGGACAAGGACUCACGAGAAGCUGUUUUUUCUGCGCAUGCUCCUCCAUCUUCUGCUUCAUGCUCUCCUUCCGCUGCUGCCUGGGGAGCUUCUCCACUUCAUUCUUCACCUGCACCAGAGACAACAGAGAAUGGCUGGGUCAGGGUACUACCACACACUUCAUGUAAAAUAAGCCUUCAGUCCCAGAACUCCUAGGUCAGGGAGACUGAAGACGAGGCUCAGCUUUCUAGACACUAGCUCCCACCCCGCUCUCCACCCCCUGACAGAUGGCACCUGCUGGCCACCUGUCUGCUGCCGGCUCCAGUUUCCAGACUCCCCCAGAGCAGACAGACGCUAGUUUUGCUGUUUGGUAUCCAUCCCCCUUCUUCUAAUAACAGCACCUCAGUUUCCUUUAGGACAGUGUUUCUCAACCUCUUUUUAAAUUGUUGUCCCCUCAGAAGCCCUUUUAGACAUUUCUUUUCCUAAUUACCCACCCCCUUGAAAUAUUAAUCCCCCAGAUAUACUGUCAAUCUGUUAAACCAUUAUAUCUAAGAUGUUUUUAACUCCUUGGUGGGGUGGGGGGAGGAUAUCACCUCAGUUGAAAUGCAUGGGUUAAGUUGCUCCCACUCAGUCUCUGAGGUUCAGGUGUGGCUGAUGCCCCAACCCCAUCUGACCCUAGGCUGGACAUAUGAUCCAGGCUGUCAAUCAGUACAUUCCAUGCCUUGGCAUCAGGGAUUGGUUCAGAGAUGAGUAUGUUACCCUUGCUGGACUAGUGAGAGCUUCUGGAUGUUUGCUGGAACUACUGGGGAAAGCCACUCUCUGUCGUUUGGGGUUGCUGAGCUGGGAGGAUGUAGGCCAUGGUGGACCACCCAAAAGGCAUCUGCCUGAGACGGAAUCAACGUAGGGAAGCAAUGUUAAGAGAUAAAGAAUUCCUGGUGACACUUCUGCCCUCCAGGUCAGAGGCAGGAGUUCUGGGUUUGAUGUCUUUGAGACUCCAAAAGAUGCCAGGUGGGCAGAUGGUAAACUAAUAGUGUUCUCAAGCCAGCUGGAACUGGGUUUCUUUUAUAACAGAAGAAGAGAUUCAUGACAUUUCACUGUGAGAAAGCUAGAGUUCCUCAGACAGUUUUCUCUGAGUAACCAAUACCUUCAUGGUUACCUGACACCCCAAAACAUGCACUCACUGACAGGUUUCUUAGGAACAGCUAGUGAAGGUAAAAAUACUGUCCAUGAUCAAAAAAAGCAUUCCAGGAGAGUUCUGCUUCUAGCAUGCUGAGGUAAGGCAAUACAGUCUCUCUUUCCUGCUGAAUACGAUGAAAAACUCUGGAUAAAAUACAAAGAGCAACUAUCUGAGGACUCUGAAAAGUAAACAAAAUCAGGUGACUCUGAAAGGGAGUCAAAACUUACAGAAGGGGCUGGUAUAGAGGGUGAGUUUCCUGGGUUUUUUUUUUUCCUUUUGCUCUCCUGGCUUUGCCCUAGUCCUAGGCAGUGAUGUAGUGAAAAGGUGGCUAAAACUGUAAGAAAUGUUAUGUUUCUGGCCAGAGAAUCAGGCAAUGGUCAAUAAGAUUAAUAAACCUUUAGUCAGAUUGACAGGGAAGAAGAGAAGGAAAAGGAGGAGGGAGAGGAAGAGGAUACUACCACACAAAUUACCAGUAUGAAGAGUGAAAGAGAAAUCACUACAGAUCCUACAGUCAUUAAAAGGAUACAAAGGGAAUACUAUGCACAGCUUUAUGUCAAUAAAUUCAGCAACUCAGGUGAAACAGACAAAUUCCUUGAAAGAAAGUACCAAAGCUCAUUCAAGAAGACAGAGAUAACUAAAACCAGAGUAACAUUAAAAGAAAACCACAGACCAAUAUCCUUUUCAUAAAUAGACUCAAAAAAGUCCUCAACAAAAUAUUAGCAAAUUCAAUCUAGUAAUAUAUGAAAAGGAGAAUACAUAAUGACCAAGUGGGCUUUAUCCCAGGAAUAUAAAGCUCAUUCAAUAUUUGAAAAUCAAGCAAUACAAUUCACAAUAUCAAUAGACUAAAGAAGAAAAACUAUGAUCACAUCAGUAUAGGAAAACCAUUUGACAAAAUUCAACAUCCAUUCAUGACAAAAUCUGUUAGCAAACUAGGAAUAGAAGGAAACUUCCUUAAUCUGAAAAAGGGCAUCUACAAAAAAACCCUAAUGCUAACAUCAUACUUAACUAUGAAAUACUGUUUUCCCCUUAAGACUGGGAACAAGGCAAAGAUGUCCACUUUACUAUUCCUGUUUAACAUCCCCCUAGAGGUCCUUGCCAGCACAAUAAAGCAAGAAAAAGAAACAAAAAACAUCCAGAUUAAAAAGUAAGAAAUAGGAGAAACAAGGUCUUACUGUAUGGCACAGGGAACUGUGUUCAAUAUCCUGUGAUAAACCAUAUGGAAAAGAAUAUAUAUAACUGAGUCACUUUGCUAUACAGCAGAAAUAAACACAACAGUAAAUCAACAUUACAAUAAAAUCUUUAAAAAUAAAAAGAAAUAAAACUCUAUUUGCAACAUUAUUGUCUAUGUAGAAAAUCCCAAGAAGUCUUUUUUUUAAGAAGUCCUAGAACUGAUAAGUGAGAACAAUACACAAGAUCAAUAUACCAGUAUUUGUCUACACACUAGCACUGACAUUAGAAAUUGACAUUAAAGAAUAGUAUCUUGUAUAAUAGCAGAGAAAAAGAAGUAAAUAUAACUCUAACAAAAUAUGUGCUGAAUCUGUAUGCUGAAAACUAUAAAACACUAAGGAAAGAUGUCAAAGGAGACCUAAAUAAAUGGAGAGAUAUUGUGUUCGUGGAAAGACUCAGUAUCGUUCAGAUUCCAUUCUCCGUAAACUGAUCCAAGGAUUCAACUCAAUCUCAAUCAAAAAUCCCAGCAGACGUUUUUACAGAAAUCAACAAGGUGAUUCUAAGAUAUAUAUGGAUAGGCAAAGGAACUAGAAGGGCCAAAACAAUUCUGAAGGAAAAAAAAAAAAGGAACAAAGUUGGAGAACUCACACUACCUGAUUUCAAGACUUACUAUAAAAAUAUAUUUAUCAAAACAUUGUAGAAUUGGUAAAAGAUAGACAAAUAGAUCAAUGGAACAGCAUAGAGAGUUCAGUUAUAGAGACACACAUAUAUACAGUCAAUUGAUUUUGCUUAAAGGUGCAAAGGCAAAUCAAAGGAGAAAGGCUAGUCUUUUCAGCAAAUGGUGCUAGGCAACUGGACAUCCAUAGGCAAAAACAACAAUAAUAAUAGUGAACCUCACCCAUACAUCUAACGUAAAACCUAACAUUGUAAAACAUCUAAAAGAAAACAUGACCUUCAGUUAUGCAAAGAUUUCUCAGAUAUGCCACAAUCCCUGAAAGAAAAAAUGAUAAGCUGGACUUAACCAAAAUUAAAUACUUCUGCUUUAUGCAAGACACUGUUAGGAGAAUCAAACGACAAGCCACAGACUGUAAGCCAACAUUUGCAAAAUAUAUAACUGACAAAGGACUUGUAUUUAGAAUGUAAAAAGAACUGUCAGAGACUUCCUAGGUGGCACAGUGGGUAAGAAUCCACCUGCUAAUGCAGGGGACACAGGUUCAAUCCCUGCCCCAGGAAGAUCCCACGUGCCGCGGAGCAACUAGGCCCAUGUGCCACAACUAUUGAGCCUGCACUCAAGAGCCCGUGAGCCACAACUAUUAAGCCCAUGUGCCGCAGCUACUGAAGCCCACGCACCUAGAUCCCGUGCUCCACAGCAAGAGAAGCCACGGCAAUGAGGAGCCCAUGUACCACAAUGAAGAGUAGCCCCCGCUCUCCGCAACUAGAGAAAGGCCAUGUGCAGCAACAAAGACCCAACACAGCCAAUAAAAAUAAAUAAAUAAAUUUAUUUAUUUAUUAAAAAAAAAAACUCAGAAUUCAGUAAUAAAAAAACAAAUCACCCAGUUAAAUAAAUGGGCAAAGUUGUAUAAACAGGUACCUCACCAAGAAAGAUAUAUAGAUAGCAAAUAAGCACAUGAACAGACAAUCAACAUUAGUCAUUAAUGAAAUGCAAAUAAAAAGCCACAACUGAGAUACCAUUUCCUAUCAGAAUGGCUAAAAAUAGAAAAAAUAAAACUGAUAAUAUUGGGUGGGCCGAAAAGUGCCUUUGGUUUUUCAAGUAAAAAUAAGACACAUUUUUCAUUUUCACCAAGAACUUUAUUAAACAACAUAUUCACUCUUUUGUUCCACCACCACCUGCCAUUUUUCAGGCAACUUCAUAAUUUCAUCUUCCCAAAAUUUUUUAUCUUUUUGAGCAAAGAACUGCCUUUUACAGUCUUCCAGGGAAUUGAAAUUUUUUCCAGUAAGAGAAUUUUGUAAAGACCGAAAUACAUGGAAAUUCUAAGGUGCAAUGUCUGGUGAAUAUGACGGAUGAAUCAGAACUUCCCAGCCAAGCUGUAACAGUUUUGCUCGGUCAUCAAAAAAACAUGCGGUCUUGCAUUAUCCUGAUGGAAAAUUAUGCAUUUUCUGUUGACUCACUCUGGACAGUUUUGUCAACUGUGCUUUCAGUUUGUUUAAUUGGGAGCAGUACUUGUUGGAAUUAAUCAUUUGGUUUUCCAGAAGGAGCUCAUAACAAAGGACUCCCUUCCAAUCCCACCAUAUACACAUCACCUUCUUUGGAUGAAGACUGGACUUUGGAGUGGUUGGUGGUAGUUCAUUUCACUUGCCCCACAAUCUCUUCCAUUCCACAUUGUUGUACAGUAUCCACUGUUCAUCCCCCAUCACAAUUUGUUUUAAAAAUGUAAACAUCUUUGGGACUUCC